rnacentral:tRNA from 1 species
GCGGAUGUGGCGGAAUUGGUAGACGCGCAGGCUUCAGGUGCCUGUGGGCUUAUGCUCGUGGAGGUUCGACUCCUCUCAUCCGCA